AAAAAGAUAAGCUAAAUUAAGCUAUUAGGUUCAUACCCUAAGUAUAGAAUAUAAAUUCUUCUUUUUA
rnacentral:tRNA from 1 species